CUAGAGGAAGGGCCCGCACCGCUACCGCCGCCGCCACUGCUGAGCCUCGGGGCCGGGUCGGGCGGGGGGGGGGUGUGUGUGCGGGGGACUCUGUCACCUCUUGGCAGCUCCCAUUGGAGCGCUGGCCUGUCACUCAGGCGCGCCGGGCGGAAACGGUGAAUUUUGAUUGACCGAGAGGCAAGAAGCGGAACCACAAGCUUAAAUCCACGGAUGAUUGGCCGAAUUCGGGGCCCAGAAAGCCAAGCAGGGCGGUGCCAUGUUUGUCCGCAGGAACCAGUGAACAAAGACGCUUCAGUCACGUGAGGGACGAGCGACGCCGGGCGUCACAUGUUUAGCUCCGGGGGGCGGGGCAAAGGUGCGCGUGGGAGGGGCGUGAGAGCGGUCGGGAAGUGCGACUUCAGGUUCUCGGUCUACGAAGCGGGCACGUGGAGCGCACCUUGGUGCGUGACCUAGCGCAGGCGUCCAGGCUGCUCCAGCCUCAGUUUCUUUAACUGCUAAGGAAGGGGAGGGGUCUGUGCCCCCCCGCGGUGCUCAGAGCAGCCCAGGUUCCCCCGGCCCGCUCGAAUCCAGCGUUUGCUGCGAGGGCUGUUUCUGGAAGCCGACUCUGGUCCAGUGUGUCAGCCAUCCCACCCAACUUCAUGUCAUCUGGAAAUCUGAGAAACAGCCACCUGUUUUUCAUCCAAGUCACUGAUAAUGCGUGUUGAUAGCAUGAGACGACGAACAGAGCCUUGUGGCACUCUGAUGGAGACCGUGUGUACUGACCCAUUAAUGACACUCUUUGAGACUGGGCAUUCAGUGAGUACCGGUCAUCUGGACAGUGUCACUAUUGUAUCCAGGAGGAGAACAUGAGAGACUUUGCUAAGAUUUAGGUAAUGUAUAUCUGUAGCAUGGCCUAGUAACCUGGUCAGAAGAGGAAAUGAGCUUACUGUGGCAUCACCCGAUGUUGAGGAGGGGCAGACUGGCUCUGAAUCAUCCCUUCCCUUUGUACAUGCCCACAAGUCUCCCUUCAAUUAGACAUUCUGGAAUUUUUCCAGGAAUCAGAGUCAAGGUCACCAGGCUGUAGUAGCAAGGACUACAGCUCUCCCUCAGACAACCCUGGGGCGCACUUCGGCACUCCCUCUCCUCGAGUCAGAAUCUGAGGUUCGUCACGGGUUAUAACUCGGGUUUUGUGUGUUGUGCAGGGGCCGCUAGGGCGGUGAGCUUUAUGGCUUCCCCUUCUUGCCUUGUUCUUCCUCUAUUGAAUCUGCCAUGGUGAACCUCUGUGGUAAAUCCCCGUGGACCGCUGUGUCCUGCAGGCUCCCUUUCCAGACUUCAUGACAUGUUUCCAUUUACCCUCAUUAGGGCUCUUUAUCCCUGAGCAAUAGGUCAUGUAUCUGUAUGUGCCUCACUCAUGUAAUAAACUGCCAACAAGAUCCAGUCCCUCUCAACUUACAACCUUGGCAAGGAAUACAAUUUGCCCAGCACAAUAAAGAAACACAUCUUAACA